rnacentral:rRNA from 1 species
CUGCUGCCUUCCGUAGGAGUUCGUGGUCCGUGUCUCACGUACCAGUGGGGCGGUCCUCCUC